rnacentral:lncRNA from 1 species
AAAAGGAAGAGUGUGAGGGAAAGCCAAAGCAGCGAGUGAGAGAGAAAGAGGGGAAGGAGUGAGUGAGUGAGUGAGUGAAGCCGGAGUUAAAGGGAGAUAAUAAGCUGCGACUUGAUAAUUUCCUCAAUAUCCGGGAACUUGAAAUGGCGGCACUCUGUACUAUACACUCGUACAACGACCCAGUUGAUGUAACAAAAAUAACAUCAGGUCUUUCCUGUGAGUAUUUACUACUUUCAUAUAUACCUUCUUUCUUUGGCCUCUACAUUUUCGUCACAUUUCUGAUCUGCCUGUCGAUCUAACAAAAGAAACUUUACACAGAUCCGUACCAUUCACUUCAUUCAAUACUUCUCAUCUUUCUCUCUCUAUCUCUCUCUCUCUCUCUCUCAGUAUAUCUAUCUAUCUAUCUAUCUAUCUAUCUAUAUGCAUACAUACGUAUUCAUGCAUCCCCCACAUUCUUUCUCAUUACAUAUGUAUACAUAUAUAUAUAAAUCUAUAAAUGUGAUGUUUGUGUUUCUGAUUUGUCUUUCAUUUAUUCAUUCAUUUAUUAUAUGAAGCUAUUUUCGCUCCAUCAAAAAUGAAAACUGUUGUGUAAUUAAGUGAUGUAUGAAAACAAUUAUACAUCAAUAUAUAUAUAUAUAUAUAUUGAUGUAUUGAAUUUGAUACAUCCAUUGUAGAUGUGACACAAUUGUGGUCAGAAAUUUAUCUGAUGAUGAUGAAAUUCAGUGUGGUACAAACGAUGACUAUGUCAUGUACAUCACACCAUAUACAUACAGUUCUGCAUCUGGUGUUUGAUAUGUACAAAAGUACACUGCAUACACAUCUCAGUGUGAUGUGCACCGGUGUACACGAAACGACGGAGCAAAAACACUUUGUACAUGAUACAUAGUUUCACUUCAUCUGAGGUGGGUGGGUGAUAGUAAUGUGUGCAGGGUUACUAUAGAUGUUCUGUUAUAAUAAAUACAGAGUUUAACUGCGUCUAAAGAUGUGUUUGCAGGGGUACUUUACAUGUCCAGCUCUAACAGAUAUACGCAUGCAGUUAAGCUUUUGAUUGGAAGGUGUGGAGUGUAGGAAACUCACUUAUACAGUCCAGCAUAUGAUAAUGACGGGGUUUGUGUCUGUAUGUACACACACACACACACACACAUAUAUAUACAUACACAUUGUUUAGCAUCGGAUGGAGCUGCGAUGUGUUCUGAUAUAUUUUGUCCAUCUAAAUAACACAUACAGUGUUUAACGUUGGUGUUCUUUGUACACAAGUAUAUAUAUAUUUAACCAUAACACUACUUCACAUACACCGACAUAUACCACUUAUUGCAUACAUCUACUAUCCUGACCAAAUACCGAAUAUACAUACAACAUACACACCAUUCUGAACACACUGCAUGACGUUUAGCCGGUCAAUGUCUUAAUUACUGAUGUUAAACAUUAACCAUGAAAAUUGGAUGGAAUCUGAAGGUGUUUUCUUUCUCCUUUUUCAACCCACCUUACACCCUUUCCGUCUAUGUAUCUAUGUGAUUAUCUAUGCUUGAAUCUGAUCGUGUGUUUUCUUCAUAUCAUGUCCUAAUGUUUGUGUUUGUACAUCUAUAAACUGAUUGUCUAUACGUAAUCUGUGUAAUCUCUUUCUACUUGUUAUUGUGUGUGUGUGUGUGUGUGUGUGUGUGUGUGACAGAGAAGUCUUGUGCAUGUUUUGUAUAUCCCAUUUAGUUUCUACGAAUGUAUGUAUACGUGUGUAAAUGUAUAUUUGCUCACCUGUUCCUAUGUACAUUCAGAUGUGUUAAGUAUCGAAAAGCAUUUUAAAAGAUUUGGAUUGUUACUGCGACUAGACACGGGGGUGGCAAUGUCUUAAGGAUGGUACUAAUAAUUUUAUCACCAAUAGUAGUAGUUGUUUUUGUUAGGAUAAUUCGAUAGUUCGAUGCUGGGUUGAGAGGAAUUAAGAAGGAAGGGUGAUCUAAAUAUCUGAGAAGAACAGAUACCCCACUCCCACACGAAGAGUGUCUAGAGUGAAAAUUACCAUAGUUUAUACUUUGAUGUAUUAUUGUUUUAAAAUAAGUAGAUUUUCAUUAUAAUUUUUAGAUUUGUUUCCUUGAAAAUACAAUAUAUAUUUGCAAUACAAUGUUACUAAGUCAUAUGUACAUCUGUAUAUUAUGGUAAACCCACUCGUACACACACACACACAGUAUAUCUUCAAAUCAGCUACCCACUCCCUUUAUAUAUGCAUAAAUGUGUGUACUCAAAUAACUUGCGUAUGACCUGCACAGUUAGCAUAAUACAUACAUAGCACAUGUGCGCUCACGCACACACACACACACACACACACACACACACACACACAUACAUAUAUAUAAAGCGAGAGAGUGUACGUUUGGAUAUGCAAGCAUGUGUCUAUUCAUACACUUGCAUAAUGUGUUCAUACUUAUAGUGUGUGUGUGUAUUGAUCAUUAAAGCAACAAAAACAAUGUAAACUGGCUUGUGAAGUAAAAAAAAGUUGGGAAGGAGGUCUGUGAUGCUAUAUUGUGGUGCUGGUAUAUUGGCAGCAGCGGUGGUGGUGGUGGUGGUGGUGUUAUCAACGACCUAGUGAGCAGUGAUGCUGCUGCUGGUAUGGUCUGUGGUGUGGGUGUUGGUGCGAUGUUACCACUGGUUUGAUAUCAUUAGCAGACAGGUUCUGUUGCUUAGCUCAGCCUCGCCACAAUAGCUCCAUUGAUUUUUCAGUGAAAUUAUUUCUUUUGUAAAAUUCUAAGGUGCCUGCCUUCCUGUCUCUUAAUAUAUGUACCUGCUAGCCUCUCUUGGACUAAUUGUCUUAGCCACCAUGCAGGCACCAUCACUUUCUGUUACAUCCAUCUCUCAUCUUUCUGCAAUUUUUAUAUCCAUCCAUCCAUCUUCUUCUAGCCAGCCAUGUCUUUCUCUGUCCAUCUCUCUUACCUCUUUCACUUUCUAUCAAUCUCUCUCAAUCCAUCCAUCCAUCUUUCUUUCCACCCCUCUCUCUUUAGUCAUCUCUCUCUCUCUCUCUCUCUCCAUCCAUCUAUCCACCUAUUUGUCUAUAUUUACCUUUCUAUCUCCUAUCUACCCAGUCAUUUCUUUAAAGCCAUCUAUUCAUUUCUCUCCCUAUUCAUCCAUUCAUCUCUCUCUCUCUCUCAUUCACCUAUUCAUUCAUUCAUCUCCCUAUCUAUCCAUUUAUCUGUCUCUCUCCUUGUCCAUUAAUUCAUUAUUCUUUCUGUCUAUCCAUUAUCUUUCUCUCUCUCUCUCUUUCUUCUUCUAUCCAUUCAUCUCUUCCUCUAUGCAUGUAUAUUCCUAGCCAUUCAUCUUCCUCAUGCUUAUACUACUAUCAUUCAUCUCUCUUUUUCUCUGCACGUCAAUCCAUUCAUCUGUCUCCAUAUUUCUAGUCAUUCAUCUCUCAUCUAGCCAUCCUUUUCUCUGUCUACUUAUCCCCUCAUGGGUCCCUUUUUAUCUCUGUCCAACUGUCCAUCCUUUCUUCUCACUUUUUAUUCAUCCAUCCAACUCUUAAUCCAUCUCUCUGUCUCUCCAUCCAUCAAUCCAUCUCUCCAUCCAUCCAUCCAUUUAGCCAUUUAUCCAUCUCUCUGCAAGCUAUAACUCAUCAUCCAUCCAACCAACCAUUUCCUACACUUCUCAUACCCCUUCCAACCAUUUAUCCAUAUUUCCAUCUCCCUAUCCUUCCAUCUCUCUCUCCCUCUCUAGCCAUUUAUCUCUCUCUGACCAUCUAUUCUUUCAAUUUUUUUCCAUCUCUAACCAUCCCUCACUAUCUCUUUGUCUAUCACCAUCCAUCUUUAUCCAUGUCAUCUCUCUAUACAUUUUUCAUUAUCUUUUCCUAAUCAUCCAUCUCUCUUUCCACUCAUCCCUCCAUUGCCUUCCAUCCAUCCUUCACUCUUUCUCUCUCUCCAUUUCUCUUUCUCCUAUUUUAUCUCCUUCCUCCUCUACCCAUCUCCUCUAUCAAUCCAUCCAUCUCUCUCAAUCUAUCUUCAUCCGUCUCUCCUGCCACCAAUCCCUCUCUUUCUCCCUCCUCUACCCAUCUCCUCUAUCAAGCCAUCCAUUUCUCUCAAUAUGUCUAUCUUCAUCCGUCUCUCCUUCUCUUCAUCAGUCCAUCUCUCACUCUACCCAUCCUUCCCUCUCUCUCCAUCCAUCCUCCCUUCUCUUUCCAUUCAUUCAUCAUUCUUUCUCCAUCCAUCCAUCUAUGCUUCACUUUCUCUGCAUUCAUCCUCCCUUCUCUGUCUCCUUUGAUCCAUAUUUCCCUAUUUCUCCAUUGAUCCAUCCUUCUCUCUAUCACUCUCUCAAUCCAUCCUUCUCUCUCUUUCCAUCCAGCUUUCCCUCUCUUCCUUCAUCCACGUUUCUCUCUCUCCCCAUCCAUCCAUCUCUCUCUCUCUCCCAUCCAUCCUUCUCUCUCUCCCCAUCCAUCCUCUCCCUAUCCAUCCAUCUCUCUCUCUCUCUCUCUCUCUCCCAUCUGUCCUUCUCUCUUUCUCCCCAUCCAUCCUUCUCUCUCUCUCCCCAUUCAUCCUUCUCUCUCCCCAUCCAUUCUUCUCUCACUCCCAUCCAUCCUUCUCUCUCUCUUUCCAUUCUUCUCUCCAUCCAUCCAUUCAUCCAUCUCCCCAUCUUCAUCCUUCCAUCUCUCUCUCUCUCUCUCUCUCCUUCCAUCCAUCUUUCUUUGUCCAUCCAUUCAUACAUCUCCAUCCAUGUCUCUCUCUCUGUCUCCUUCCAUCCCUUGUCUCUCCAUCAGUCCAUCCAUCUCUCCCUCUCUUUCCUUCUCCAUCCUCUCAAUCCUUCCAUCAGUUUCUCUCUAUCCAUCCAUCUCUCUCUCUCUCUCUCUCUCUCCCAUCUAUCCAUCCACCAAUCCAUUUCUCUCUCUCUCUCUAUCUCUCUCUCUCUCUCUAUUCAUUUAUUUUUCUCUCUCUACCCUUCCAUUUCUCUUUCUCCAUUCAUUGAUUCAUCUUUGUCUCUCUCCAUCCAUCUGUCCCUCUUUCCAUCCAUCUAUCAAUCUCUCUUUAUCCAUUCAUCUGUUUUUCUUUCUCUCCAUCCUUCUAUCCAUCUCACUCUCCAUCCAUUCAGUUCUCUCUCUCUCCAUUCCUCAGUUUUCUCUGCAUUCAUCCAUCUCUCUUUCUCCUUCCAACUAUCCGUCUUUGUCUCCAUCCAUUCAUCCACCUGUCUCUCUAUCCAGUCAUCCAUCUCUCUCUGUCCAUCUAUCCUUCUCUCUCGUCCAUGCAUCACUUUUUUGUUUCCCUACCCAGCCAUUUCUCUUUCUCCAUCCAUUGAUUCAUCUCUGUCUGCACCAUCCAUCUGUCUCUGUCCAUUCAUCCAUGUGUCUCUCUCCAUCCAUCUCUCUCUCUUUCUCUCUUUUUAUCCAUCCAUCCUUCUCUCUUGUCCAUGCAUCACUUUGCCUUUCCAUCUCUAUAUCCAUGCAUCUUUCCCUAUCUUUUUCUCUCUCUCUCUCUUUCUCCAUGUCUCUCUAUGCACCCAUCCAUCCAUCUCUCUCUCCCUAUUCAUCUAUUUUUCUCUCCCUACCCAUCCAUCUCUCUUUCUCCAUUCAUUGAUUCAUCUCUGUCUCCACUAUCCAUCUCUCUCUUUCUCUCUUUCUAUCCAUCAAUCUCUCUAUCCAUUCAUCUAUUUUUCUCUCUCUCCAUUCUAUCCAUCCAUUUCACUCUCCAUCCAUCCAUUUAUUUCUCUCUCUCCAUUCAUCAAUUUUUCUCUUUCUCCCUCCAUCAAUCCAUCUCCUUUUAUCGAGCCGUCUCUGUCUCCUUCUAUCAAUCCAUCUCUGUCUCCAUCCAUCAAUCCAUCUCCAUCCAUCCAUCUGUCCAUCUCACUCUCCAUCCACCUGUCUCUCUGUCCAUCCAUGCACCACUUUACCUUUCCAUCUCUGUAUCCCUGCAUCUUUCCCUAUCCAGCUCUUUAUUUAUCCAUCCUUCUCCCUCUCAAUCCAUCCACGCUGUCUCAUCUAUAUGUAAAUCUGAUGUGAACCUGCAGUUUCACAUGGUUGCUGGUCAUCUUACUUUGGUUGGUCACUUGGUACUAAUCACAGAGACUUAUGUACAACUGCAUAUCACUAUAAUCCACUGACAUACAAGGUGUGUCUUUUGAGUGACUUCCUUUGUCAUUCCAUUUAUUGAAAGUCCUAUGGUGAUAGAAGAGUGGCAAUGUGUGCAGACCUAAACAGUUAGAAGUCUAUCUUUUGUCCAUCACCUUUGCUUCAAGCCAUGCAGAUCUGCGGCAGGACUGAAAUGUCAUCUGUGAGGUCAUGGACAGAAAGUCAGAACUGCUAUUGACAAUGUGGCACAAGGAGGUAGCAAUUAUCUCUACAGAUGGAGCAGUCAUCAUCUAUGUAUAUAUGUAUGCAUGUGUGUGAAUAUAUGUAUAUUUAUGUAGGUAUGUGUAUGCAUGGUUAUGUAGGUAUGUGUAUGUACUGUUAUGUAGGUAUGUGUAUGUACUGUUAUGUAGGUAUGUGUAUGUACUGUUAUGUAGGUAUGUGUAUGUAUAUAUAUGUAUAUAUGUAAGCAUGAAGGUGGUGAGCUGGCAGAAACGUUAGCACGCCGGGCGAAAUGCGUGGCCGUAUUUCGUUCUGAGUUCAAAUUCUGCCGAGGUCGACUUUGCCUUUCAUCCUUUUGGGGUCGAUAAAUUAAGUACCAGUUGCGCACUGGGGUCGAUGUAAUCAACUCGAUCCCUUUGUCUGUCCUUGUUUGUCCUCUCUGUGUUUAGCCCCCUGUGGGUAGUAAAGAAAUAUAUAUAUGUAAGCAUGUGUAUGUAUAUAUAGAUAUGUGUGUAUAUAUUUGUAUGUGUAUUUGUAAUUAUGUGUAUGUAUGUAUUUAAUUAUGUGUAUAUACAUAUAUGUAUGUCUAUAACUUUAUAUAUAUUUGUACAUGGAUAUAUAUAUAUGUGUGUAUGUAUCAUACAUAUAUAUAUCUUUCUAUAUGUAUGCAUGUUUAUAUAUAUGUGUAUCCGUAUAUGUAUAUGUAUAUAUUGUUGUGUCUGGGGUGUGUCAUUUUGUUUUAAUGCCUUAUUAAUCAGUUAGGAGCCACAGUCAUGCAUAAUAGACAUUAAAACCAAGUGCUUGAGUGCUGGAGCAUUGUCCUGAUGAAACAAGACCCCUUUCCAUCAGUUUUCUUGGGUAAGUUGGUAUAGUACUCUCCAUUGAUGGAGAGGCCUUUUUGAAGUCAAUAAACAAUCCUUUUUGAAGUCAAUAAACAAUCCUUUUUGCAUCCCCAAAACCUGAGGCCAUUGCUUUCCCUGCAAAUGAAACAACCUUUGGCCUUCUUUGGAGCAGGUUUGUCUCUUUGUCUAUGGCUCAAAGUGAUGAAGCCAACACUCCUCCUGGAUGAGAAAAUGUUCAAGGAAACCAGCUGGAUCUGUCUCAAUGUCAGAUUUUCCUGUGUUUGAUCAAACUGGUGUGCUUUUGAUCAGGUGUCAGAUGUGGCUCCCACCGAGCAGAAGCCUUCAUGCCAAAUUCAUUGUGCAGAAUAUUCUCAGUUCUGUCAUGGGAUAUGCCAAUAUUAUUGGCUGUUU